AGCGAACGCUGGCGGCAGGCCUAACACAUGCAAGUCGAACGAAGUCUUCGGACUUAGUGGCGGACGGGUGAGUAACACGUGGGAACGUGCCUUUAGGUUCGGAAUAACUCAGGGAAACUUUUGCUAAUACCGAAUGUGCCCUUCGGGGGAAAGAUUUAUCGCCUUUAGAGCGGCCCGCGUCUGAUUAGCUAGUUGGUGAGGUAAAGGCUCACCAAGGCUACGAUCAGUAGCUGGUCUGAGAGGAUGACCAGCCACAUUGGGACUGAGACACGGCCCAAACUCCUACGGGAGGCAGCAGUGGGGAAUCUUGCGCAAUGGGCGAAAGCCUGACGCAGCCAUGCCGCGUAGAUGAUGAAGGUCUUAGGAUUGUAAAAUCCUUUCACCGGUGAAGAUAAUGACUGUAGCCGGAGAAGAAGCCCCGGCUAACUUCGUGCCAGCAGCCGCGGUAACAC
rnacentral:rRNA from 1 species